GUUAUCUAUCUAUACAUAUAAUAAAAUCGUAGAAAAGUGCUGUCUGUACAUUGAAAAUAAAAAUAAAAAAAAUAGCAGGGGUUAUUGUUAUGUCGAUGUCGAACCCAAAAAUGUAAUUAACUUUUUUUUGUCUGUUUGUCUGUUUGUCUGUUUGUCUGUUUGUCUGUUUGUCUGUUCGUCUGUGCGCGCUAAUCUCAGAAACGGCUGAUCCGAGUUGGAUGCGGUUUUCACGAAUAUAUUGUGGGAUGCUUAAAUUUACAUUUAGUGUUUGUUUCAUGUCAAUCGGUUCAUAAAUAAAAAAGUUAUGUCAAAUUAAAGAAUCACGUCGAACAUUCUAUGCUUAUACCAUUAAUCUCCGCAACUAUUUGACGGAUUUGGUUGAAAUUUGGUACAGAUAUAGUUUAGAACCUUAGAAAGGACAUAGAUAUAUUUUUAUUUCAAAAAUCAAAAAAUAAAAAUAAGAAAUAAAUUAUUUAUAAAUAAUUCUAUGUCGAUCGUUACACGACUUCGGUUCAUGUUAUUGUUUUAAUUCAUCGAAAAAAAGUAAAUAAAUAGUAAAAAGGUAUGAAAAAAAUAAUAUCAAUAUAAUUAAACUUUUAGUACAAAGAAAAUGCCCGAACGGAGUAUAAAUAAAUAAUCCAAGUUGUCUUUAUCCUCGAUAGAUCGAAAUAGAUCGCGCUAUGGUUUCGUUACAUUCAUUUGGUUGGGUAUCGGCCGAGCGCUUCGGUACUAUCGUAGAAAAAGUGUAUUAUCAGUCGUAUGAUUAUUUGUCUGUAGUGGUCCUGCUGUUUCGUAUAUUCUAAAUUGGUUUCGUUGUAUUUGUCAAUUAAUAAGUUUAUUUGUUGGGUUUUCCUGGUUUUUUGGUUAAACUAUUUAACGUAGGUUUAGUUUGAUAUCGAUUAUUAGUAGUUACUGUAGUUAGUUUUUUUAAUAAAAUUGUAAGUCUAAUUUAUAAAUUAAUUAGAUUAGAUUUAAGUCGUUUCUUUUAAAUUAUUUAGUUUAAGCUUGGUUAUUAUAGCAUAGAGGAUAGGUUGUAAUAUAGUUUCUUUUUUAAUUGUUAUAAAUUCGUAAUUCGUAGCUUUCUUUAGUUUUAAGUUAGUUUAAGUCCGUUUUUAAACUAUUUUUUCAAUGCCCUAAGUGAGUAUACAUCUAUUAAAUUCAAACGCAGA